CAUUAGAUGACUGAAAGCAAGUAC
rnacentral:ncRNA from 3 species